rnacentral:lncRNA from 1 species
CACGGUCCAGCAGAAGCGGCUUCAACAGGACGAUCACGUAUCCCAGACAUUGCCCCUCCAUAAACCUGUCGCAUCCCUCACAGCAUCCACUUCCUGGAGGACCCAAGUGGCCCAGAG